UGCUGACAUGAGUAACGACAAUGGGUGUGAAAAACACCCACGCCGAAAGACCAAGGUUUCCUGCGCAACGUUAAUCGACGCAGGGUUAGUCGGUCCCUAAGGCGAGGCUGAAAAGCGUAGUCGAUGGAAAACAGGUUAAUAUUCCUGUACUUCUAGUUAUUGCGAUGGAGGGACGGAGAAGGCUAGGCCAGCUUGGCGUUGGUUGUCCAAGUUUAAGGUGGUAGGCUGGAAUCUUAGGUAAAUCCGGGGUUCUAAGGCCGAGAGCUGAUGACGAGUUACCUUUUAGGUGACGAAGUGGUUGAUGCCAUGCUUCCA
rnacentral:rRNA from 1 species